rnacentral:rRNA from 1 species
AACGAACGCUGGCGGCAUGCCUAACACAUGCAAGUCGAACGAUCCCUUCGGGGAUAGUGGCGCACGGGUGCGUAACGCGUGGGAACCUGCCCUUAGGUUCGGAAUAACUCAGAGAAAUUUGAGCUAAUACCGGAUAAUGUCUUCGGACCAAAGAUUUAUCGCCUUUGGAUGGGCCCGCGUUGGAUUAGCUAGUUGGUGGGGUAAAGGCCUACCAAGGCGACGAUCCAUAGCUGGUCUGAGAGGAUGAUCAGCCACACUGGGACUGAGACACGGCCCAGACUCCUACGGGAGGCAGCAGUGGGGAAUAUUGGACAAUGGGCGAAAGCCUGAUCCAGCAAUGCCGCGUGAGUGAUGAAGACCUUAGGGUUGUAAAGCUCUUUUACCCGGGAUGAUAAUGACAGUACCGGGAGAAUAAGCCCCGGCUAACUCCGUG